rnacentral:tRNA from 1 species
UCGGGAUAGCUCAGCUGGUAGAGCAGAGGACG